rnacentral:rRNA from 1 species
CCUACGGGCGGCUGCAGUGGGGAAUCUUGGACAAUGGGGGAAACCCUGAUCCAGCCAUGCCGCGUGAGUGAUGAAGGCCUUCGGGUUGUAAAACUCUUUCGACGGGGACGAUAAUGACGGUACCCGUAGAAGAAGCUCCGGCUAACUUCGUGCCAGCAGCCGCGGUAAUACGAAGGGGGCUAGCGUUGUUCGGAAUUACUGGGCGUAAAGCGCGCGCAGGCGGCUAUCCAAGUCAGUGGUGAAAGCCCGGAGCUCAACUCCGGAACUGCCAUUGAAACUGUUUAGCUUGAGGACGAGAGAGGUGAGUGGAAUUCCCAGUGUAGAGGUGAAAUUCGUAGAUAUUGGGAAGAACACCGGUGGCGAAGGCGGCUCACUGGCUCGUAUCUGACGCUCAGGCGCGAAAGCGUGGGGAUCAAACAGGAUUAGAUACCCGAGUAGUC